UUGUUGUUUGAACCUUGGAAAAAACUUAAAUCUUCUCCUUUCUCUUGUGAUAUAAAUAGACAAUGAACUAGUGAUAAUCACUCAAAAUGAAUUGGUUUCAAGAUAGACAAGAUAUAUUUUUAGGAGAACGUAGGUUUCACCUAAAUCCAGAUAAAUCAAAGUAUGUAUUAGUGUGUAUAUCAGUGCAUCGAGAUUGUGUUGCUUGUGUUGUAAUAGCUGACACUGGAAAUGGAACUCUAGUAUUUGACGAACGGAAGUGGACAGAAUUAGUCAAAAAUAAGUCAUUCAUUGAUAGUUCACUAACAUCGACAGAAAUUGUGAACACACUAGAUGUUGGAAGAUUUGCAGUGGAAUUUGAGCAGACCCACCCAAAUACUAUUCGAAUUUACAAUGACGACUCUAGUAUUCGUUUGAAUUGUGAAUCGUUGUCAAUAUUAUGGCUUUUGAUACCUAUUCUCCAAUAUAGAAUGGAUGUAUUGAAAUCUCUGAGAUUUGAUGUAGUCAUGAAUAUUCUUCAAUUGGGAGUGAAGUCGAAUAUAAUCAACAGGUCAUUGAAGGUGCUUGAAACAAUCAAAGAAAUUAAUCCUGAAGUAUACACACUCUUGGAUUGAAAAUAUGACGAAAGAAGUUACAUUUGGUAAACAUUCAUUUGCUUUACUCAUGGAAUGACGCUUAUCAAACGGCGAGACGCAGCCCAUGGAAAGAAAUAGGACGUGACCGAAUAAGAUUCCAACGUCGCAUUGAAAAAUCUGUCACAUGUACAAAUCAUAUUUUAGAUGUUAAUCAUAGAAAUAAGGUAUAUGAACAAAUUAUAUACUUAUAUAUUCA